AAACCUAAGCUAUCCCUUGUAUAUUUCAUGACAUAAUUUUAAGCAAAGAGGUAUAUUUAGCAAAUAAUCAUUCUCUUCCCCUUACUUUCAUCCUGCUCACUGUCCUAAGAAAAAUUUAGCAUCGUCAACCUUGUACCACGUGUGCUCUCGGGUCCUAUGGCUUUGUAUCUAAUCCCCGUUUGCAAAACGUUCAGAGUGUGAAGCCCAAGGGUCUUAACAAAAAAUCAUGGUAUAAAAUGUGAACCAACCAAAAGACUUUAUCCAAUUCUUGUGGCCAUGCAAAGCCCUUGUCUUUCUCUGCCCCACUUUCCACCCACACCUCUCACUCCACCCCCUCACCUCUCCUCUCUCUCACCUCCCACUUCUCCACGGCCACAGCCGCUGCCGACAAGCACACGCCCCAUCUCCUUUCUCUCUCCUCCCCCCUCCGUCGCCGGAAACCCCUGCUGCACCACCUCCCUCCGCCGCUGCCCCGGAAUGACCGUUCUGCUGCCUUAACACUGGGACUCUCUAGCCGGAGAAUUACUUGCAAGGCGACGGAAGUGUCGGUGGCGGAGGAGCCGUCGGCUGCGGGCGAUGGCGAGAACUGGGUGCCAGUGGUGCCGCUGUCGGCAUUGCCCAAGGGGGAGCGGCGCGUGAUUAUACAGGACGGAGAGACGAUUCUGUUGUUGUGAUUAUACACGAAAUUUAUGUGAAGAAUGAAAGGCUCUUUUGAGGCUCAUGCAAGCCAUCUCCUGUAAACUGGCCUCUGCUUGGUCCAGCUCCAGAUAUAGCUGCUCUACUUCAGCUAUCUUCUCAUUCAAGCGCCUACGAAUCACGUCCCUCUUGCCCUCUGCUUGUGCAUACUCAACUAAAGGUUGCACUCCAACAAAUGGGCUUCUUAACCAAUCAACCUUAACCUGAGCCCUCUCCAAAUCACUCAAUGUUCUAUCAAUGAAGUAGGUGUCUGCACCAGACAGGCUACGGGCAGUAUUCUUCUGCAUCAGCUCCACAAUCUGCAGUAUGGAACCUUUGAUUAUCUCUACAAACUGGGGUGCUGUAAAGGAGCAAUUGGCAGUUACGUCUCCAUAUUUGGUCAAUAUUUGCUGCCAAAUCGACUCCCUGGUAUUGGAAGUUACACCAGAUCCCUCAACCAUCUCAAGAAGCCCUGCAGCGGCUGUGUUAGGAUCUGUGAGAGUUUUGUCUGUGUCCUCAGCUUCAGUUGGAGCGAAGGUAGUUUGGAUCUCCUAAAGCCCAAAAAAGAGAAGGAAAAGUAUAGAACUUGUGCUUGGAAUUAACCAACAAAAAAGAUUAAUUUUGAUGUAAAAGUGCCCAAGGAAAAAUAUUUUGGUAGUUUCAGUUGAAAAUUUUGACAAACCUUGUCAGCUCCCGAAGCACCUUCCACUUCAUCUGAAGGCCAAUUAAGUGUAUCUAGGCAUUGCAACCUGUGAUUAUGCUCAAGAUGAAGUUUUGUGAUCACCCAUUGUCCAUUGUCAAGUUUGACUUGGAUCUGGACAUUGCAACCUGUUCUUGUUUCUGAUCUCUUAUACUUUGUUCCCUGGUUGGGAUGCUUCUUGGUCCGGAAGCCUUCACAUGAACAAAGAAAGCAUCGCCCUUUCAGUGUACCAUUUGCUUUCCUUUGUACCUUUCCUUUUCUUACUGUAAAACCAAUUCUCUUGGCAUACUUUUUACAAAAUUCUUCAGCUUCUAACUCAGAAGAAAA